GUCUUGAUAGCUCAGUUGGUAGAGCAGGUGAUUGAAAAUCAUCGUGUCGGCAGUUCAACUCUGCCUCAAGGCACCA
rnacentral:tRNA from 1 species